rnacentral:rRNA from 1 species
UACGUAGGGUGCAAGCGUUAAUCGGAAUUACUGGGCGUAAAGCGUGCGCAGGCGGUGAUGUAAGACCGAUGUGAAAUCCCCGGGCUUAACCUGGGAACUGCAUUGGUGACUGCAUUGCUAGAGUAUGGCAGAGGGGGAUGGAAUUCCGCGUGUAGCAGUGAAAUGCGUAGAUAUGCGGAGGAACACCGAUGGCGAAGGCAAUCCCCUGGGCCUGCACUGACGUUCAUGCACGAAAGCGUGGGGAUCAAACAGG